UACCAGCACCCCGAGUGGUCGGGACGUUUAUUGGGCCUAAAGCAUCCGUAGCCGGUUCUACAAGUCUUCCGUUAAAUCCAGCUGCUUAACAGAUGGGCUGCGGAAGAUACUAUGGAGCUAGGAGGCGGGAGAGGCAAGCGGUACUCGAUGGGUAGGGGUAAAAUCCGUUGAUCCAUUGAAGACCACCAGUGGCGAAGGCGGCUUGCCAGAACGCGCUCGACGGUGAGGGAUGAAAGCUGGGGGAGCAAACCGGAU
rnacentral:rRNA from 1 species